CAGAGCCAAGCUAGUGCUGGAGCCAUGCCCUUCAACCUGAAAACUUCCUCAGGGAGAAGACAGUAAAGAUGAGCAAGACAAGGAACAAGAAGUGAAAUAGGAACAGGACUCCUGUUUGGAUCUUCUGUAGAAUUCUGGUUGAAGGAGCUUAUGUUUCAUAGACAACAAAUCAUGAUGCCUGUGCCUGAUGAGGGUAGUGAAUCCAGGAGAGAUGCAAGGGCCCUUCCCUCAGCAGGCAUCCAUGGGACUUGGCAUGUCCAGACUGCACUACCUCGAGAAGUGAUGAAGAUACCAGACCUCUUCCCUGUCUGCAGGAACAUUGGUCCAAGAUAAAUGAACUCACCUACUUUAGAAAAGAAAAAUCUAAUCGGAGAAUGGUACCAUCCCCCCGAAGACCACUCAUUCUGUGCUCUGCCAACAUAGCCACAGGGAAUCUACCAUCUUUUCCGCCAUGUGUGAGGUU